AACGAACGCUGGCGGCAUGCCUAACACAUGCAAGUCGAACGAGACCUUCGGGUCUAGUGGCGCACGGGUGCGUAACGCGUGGGAACCUGCCCUUAGGUUCGGAAUAACUCCCCGAAAGGGGUGCUAAUACCGGAUAAUGUCUUCGGACCAAAGAUUUAUCGCCUUUGGAUGGGCCCGCGUUGGAUUAGCUAGUUGGUAGGGUAAAAGCCUACCAAGGCGACGAUCCAUAGCUGGUCUGAGAGGAUGAUCAGCCACACUGGGACUGAGACACGGCCCAGACUCCUACGGGAGGCAGCAGUGGGGGAUAUUGGACAAUGGGCGGAAGGCUGAUCCAGCAAUGCCGGGUGAGUGAUGAAGGCCUUAGGGUUGUAAAGCUCUUUUAACCGGGAUGAUAAUGACAGUACCGGGAGAAUAAGCUCCGGCUAACUCCGUG
rnacentral:rRNA from 1 species